UACGUAGGGUGCGAGCGUUGUCCGGAAUUAUUGGGCGUAAAGAGCUUGUAGGCGGUUUGUCGCGUCUGCCGUGAAAAUCCGGGGCUCAACCCCGGACUUGCGGUGGGUACGGGCAGACUAGAGUGUGGUAGGGGGAGACUGGAAUUCCUGGUGUAGCGGUGAAAUGCGCAGAUAUCAGGAGGAACACCGAUGGCGAAGGCAGGUCUCUGGGCCACUACUGACGCUGAGAAGCGAAAGCGUGGGGGAGCGAACAGG
rnacentral:rRNA from 1 species